UAGUUGGUCUUAGAAGGACCUUCCCCAAAUUCAGUAUUGGCUCCCUCGUACAGCUCUCCAAGCUCGCACAGUCCUAGCAGCAAGUAGGCCCCAGCUAGAUGUCCACCUUUAUUUCCUUCAGCAACUUGGCAAUGUUCGACCCUCUUCAGAAACAUCGUUUCCAGUUCUAAUAUGCCUUGCUCCAAGCGCAUCAGUCGUUUGUUAGCGCUGACAGGCAUAUCCUUCCAUUCUCCAAUUAGUUUUUUGAUUGGCU
rnacentral:lncRNA from 1 species